rnacentral:misc_RNA from 1 species
GGGCGGGUUCGAUUCCCGAAUGGGGAGCCA